UACGUAGGGUGCGAGCGUUGUCCGGAAUUAUUGGGCGUAAAGGGCUCGUAGGCGGUUUGUCGCGUCGGGAGUGAAAUCCACUGGCUUAACUGGUGGCUUGCUUUCGAUACGGGCAGACUGGAGGUAUGCAGGGGAGAACGGAAUUCCUGGUGUAGCGGUGAAAUGCGCAGAUAUCAGGAGGAACACCGGUGGCGAAGGCGGAUCUCUGGGCCAUUACUGACGCUGAGGAGCGAAAGCGUGGGGAGCGAACAGG
rnacentral:rRNA from 1 species